AACAGGUUUGGUCCUGGCCUUUCCAUUGAUUCUUAAUAAAAUUACACAUGCAAGCAUCCACGCCCCCGUGAGAAUGCCCCCAGUGUCUACAAGACACGAAGGAGCGGGCAUCAAGCACGCUAAUUAGAGCAGCUCACGACGCCUUGCUUAGCCACACCCCCACGGGAAACAGCAGUGAUAAAAAUUAAGCCAUGAACGAAAGUUCGACUAAGUUAUAUUAAACAGGGUUGGUAAAUUUCGUGCCAGCCACCGCGGUCAUACGAUUAACCCAAGUUAAUGGAAGUACGGCGUAAAGCGUGUUAGAGGAACACAAACAAAAUAAGAUUAAACUUUAAUUAAGCUGUAGAAAGCCAUAAUUAAAAUAAAAAUAAAUAACGAAAGUAAUCUUAUUACAUACCAAUACACGAUAGCUAAGACCCAAACUGGGAUUAGAUACCCCACUAUGCUUAGCCCUAAACAUAAAUAGUUAAUUAGACAAAACUAUUCGCCAGAGGACUACUAGCUAUAGCUUAAAACUCAAAGGACUUGGCGGUGCUUUAUAUCCCUCUAGAGGAGCCUGUUCUAUAAUCGAUAUACCCCGAUAGACCUCACCAACCCUUGCUAAUUCAGUCUAUAUACCGCCAUCUUCAGCAAACCCUAAAAGGGAACAAAAGUAAGCCUAAUCAUUACACAUAAAAACGUUAGGUCAAGGUGUAACCUAUGGGUUGGGAAGAAAUGGGCUACAUUUUCUACUUAAAAGAAAACACGAAAGUCCUCAUGAAACUGAUGACUAAAGGAGGAUUUAGUAGUAAGCUAAGAAUAGAGCGCUUAGCUGAAUCGGGCCAUGAAGCACGCACACACCGCCCGUCACCCUCCUCAAGCAUAUCCUAAACUUUUAAACUUAUUACAAGUACUAACAAUGCAAGAGGAGACAAGUCGUAACAAGGUAAGCAUACCGGAAGGUGUGCUUGGACAAAUC
rnacentral:ncRNA from 1 species